rnacentral:rRNA from 1 species
AGUGAACGCUGGCGGUAGGCCUAACACAUGCAAGUCGAACGGCAGCACAGUAAGAGCUUGCUCUUACGGGUGGCGAGUGGCGGACGGGUGAGGAAUACAUCGGAAUCUACUUUUUCGUGGGGGAUAACGUAGUGAAACUUACGCUAAUACCGCAUACGACCUACGGGUGAAAGCAGGGGAUCUUCGGACCUUGCGCGAUUGAAUGGGCCGAUGUCGGAUUAGCUAGUUGGCGGGGUAAAGGCCCACCAAGGCGACGAUCCGUAGCUGGUCUGAGAGGAUGAUCAGCCACACUGGAACUGAGACACGGUCCAGACUCCUACGGGAGGCAGCAGUGGGGAAUAUUGGACAAUGGGCGCAAGCCUGAUCCAGCCAUACCGCGUGGGUGAAGAAGGCCUUCGGGUUGUAAAGCCCUUUUGUUGGGAAAGAAAAGCAGCAGGUUAAUACCCCGCUGUUCUGACGGUACCCAAAGAAUAAGCACCGGCUAACUUCGUG